CAUGCCUAUGGGUCGCUCCUGCCUGUGCUCACAGGCUCACUGUUGGCUCUCCUGGGGAGCACAGCCUGCGGAGUCCCCCGGGAUUUCAGCAGGAGUGACCCCGCGAAGCCUUGCGUUUCCCAGUGCCGGUGGCUGUGCCAAUCCCCUGCUAUUUACUGAGUUUUAAUUAACAGCUUGCCCAGUCCUGGAAACUUCCUCUUCUCCUCGAUCCCAAGCAAAAGCACCUCUCAGGGGUCUUCACCUUUUGUCCUCAAAGCCUGUUUGGGCUGGAUUCGAGGGCAGGCUGUUCUCAGCCACUGCGGCGCAAACGCUCGGCGUUGUUCAGCCCUUUCUAUCCAUCCCAUCCGUCCCACAGGAGCCCCCGUCUGCAUCUCACAGCACCCAGCUGGGCUGCAGCAGUGUCCACUAGAGCGAGCAGGCUGCAGGGAUGGGCUAAGAUUCCCGAAAAACUUCCCCAGCUUCUGUGUACCCUGAGAAAUGCCUCUUUCACCCCUUGGACUCAUACGAUAUCUCUCUGGCCUUCCCAUGUCCUCCUGCCCCCUUCUCCAGCAACAGAAGCCUCUGAACGGCGGCUCAGAACAGAAGAUGAUGUGUUUUUUUCCGCGUCUCCUCCUCUACCUGCAUCUAUUUGCUUGGAUGGCAGCCAGAAAGAUGCCAGGCAAAAUCUCCCGAGCUGAGAAGGAAGAGGAGGGAGAUGCCACCUGAAAACAUGAUACUUUUGCUGAUGAAUGGGGAAAUAAAUAGGGCUGGUUGUCACUGGCAUGGCUCUGGCAGGCCAGACAUCAUGGUUCAAGGAUGCUAGGGCUGAUCUCCUGCGUUGGGAGUGAUCCUCAGCUCUGUCCAAGGACCCUUCUUAUGCCCCACAAAAGAUGAGAGGGUGCAGGGGAAGGGAAGUACCUUCCUCAGGUAGUGCUGAGCAGGAAGUUCCUGCUGAAAUCAGGGUCUUCUCUAUGCCCUCCAUGAUGCUCUUCCUCUUUCCAGUGAGCUGAUGAAGGUGGGAGGCCAGGACCUGCCAAGCCAAGCAGGACUCAAGGGUCAACUUAAUCGUGUUCUAAACUGUUGAAACAGGGCUUGUCACCAAAAAAGGUGGUCCAGAAUUUGUCAGGACUUGGAGGGCAAUGGGUUGCUGAUGGGAGUGAAAGAAAUUCAAGUGACUAUAGGAGCUGAGGUGACAUAAAACCUCCUCCUUGGGGAUUUUAAUUAUAAUGUUACAGUUUUGGCUGGUAGCAUGACAGAAGGUCCGUCUGGGUGCCGUGGGGUCUUUAUCUUCCUCUAAGUAAGAGGGACAGGAAAACGAUUAGAUGGAUUGAGAGUCUGUUCAUCCAUCCCUCUACCUACUUAUCUACAAUGCAUCUCUCACCAGCCCUAUCUUUGCUUUGAAAAAAAACCCAGCAAUCUCCUUUAGAAGCCAGGAAUACAAUCAGUAUAUUCCCUCUCCAAUUCAGGUAGCUCCCCAUAAAUCUUCCCAGCUUCAGUUUGGUCUCCUAGGACUCCCGGAUCGGUUGGGAUCCUAUUUAAUCAGCUGAGAUGAUCAGCGCUGUUCACUGCCGAAAGGCCCUUUGAACUCUUUGUCUCUUCUUUGAAUGAUGCCUGUGUCUCCUGAGGAUUUAGCCAAACUGGCGCAGAAGUCUUAGGUUAAUAAUGUUGGCCGCUGGCAGUGCCUACCAAAGUCCAGCUGUGAGCCCAGGGUGCAGGGAAGAGUCGCAGCCCCUCUGCCAAGCCCUUAUCGCUGCAUCUUCCCUCAGCUCCUCACUUGGCUCGCUGCAAAAUCUAAUUGCCAAGCCAGCAUGGAAAGCAUCCAGCCUGGGAAGAGAAUUAUAGCUCCUUUUGGGAAGGCUCAGCAAAGGCUGGAAGGGUGCGUGUGAACUCACAGCCCCCCAAGAUCCUGGGGGCGCAGGCUUGGAUUUUAGCAUAUUUCAGUGCAUUUUAAGUUUUAGUUGGUUGGGAUCAGCUCCACACCAGUACUUUUGUUGAGGGAUGGUGGCUUCUGGAAGAGGUUUCCCAUGCUGCUCCAGCCCUUGGGAGCAGGGAGCUCAGCACUUCUCAGGAUCCAGCCUCCAGGUAGCAAAUCCAGAGCUGUUUAAAAUGACAGGACUUCUUCCACCGACUUGGACCAGAUUUCACUCAGGGAAAUGUUGAACUGUGACCUUCAGUAGCCAGGUUUCUCUUUUAGGCCUUGUUGAUAUUGUGCUCCAGGUGGCUGCUCUUUGAUUCCCCAACAGCCUCCAAGCAACCCAACCUGGUGAGAAGCACCCAGAUCCUCACCUCAUCUCCAUGCAGCUCUGGCCCAAGGGGCUGGUGUUUCCCCUUCCAAAGGCUGCUGCUCUCCAUAUACCAUAACUUAGCAUAGACCACCAUCAAGACAGGCAAAGCAACCUAAUCUAUGAGCGCAUUAGGGUGUUGGAAAACAAUAAUCCAAGAAGGAAACACAUUAUCUGGCCUUGUUACUUUACAAAGUAAUUUAAAUUAAUUUUUCCCUAGAGUGGUUAGGGAGCACUGCAACUUGCCCUUGUCUAUUCUCUCCAGCUAAUGAAGCUUUACCAGCGACUGCUCGUGAAUUCCUAUUAAGACCUCAUCUUAGAGGUUACAGGGCAAAGCAAUUUCUGCUCCUGGGAAAGAUGCCUAUGAAUUUGUAAUUGUAAGUCCGUGUUUGAUAGGGAUUAGCAUCUGAAAGGGGUAGAGUGGUGAGUAGCAGAGAAAACAUUAUUUCAAUUAGCAGAAGAAAAGCAACUUAACAUCUGAUUAUAGUUUACACUUUCAAUUUUCUCCCAUUCUGGCAUCUGGGAUAAUUAUUUCCUGAAACUAUCCACUCCUACCAAGCCAGCCAGCUCUUUCCUUCUCUUCCUCUUGGCCAUCUUGGUUGAAAGUCACAUGGGAACAGUUGAUGAGUUGGGUUUUUCCUUUCCUAUUUUCUCCCACACAGUAGCCAGACUCACCAGAUUUGAGGAUGGAGAAGAGGAUGCUGUACUGAGACAGGCUGAAAUGAGAUACGAUGUUUCUCUUCGCACCAAGGAGGCGCAGGAUGAGGAGGAUGGGGCUUUGCUCUGCAGCCAGGCUCAUGGUUAGGCUUGUGGCCAGUAGCUCCGCGCAGUGCCAGUGCCGAGCUCUCCCAGGCAAAGCCCCAAUGCCUAAAGCUUCACUCUGCAUUCAGAAAUUACCUCUGAUCACCCCCUCUUCUCCUACUUCAUAAAGGCAGGUGCUGUUCUCUCUGCAGGGCCUUGGCCCUUGUGCUACCUGUACUCCAGCUAUAUUUUCUGGCUGCUUGGUCUCAUAUUUCCUAAUGACGUUGCAAUCAGUUUUCGGCUGGGAAAUUCCUUGUGAGAAGGCUCGUUGUUAUUUAAGGAAGAUCAUGAAAUCCAUCCUUAAUGAAAGAACAGCAGUAAACCCUUCCACCAAGUUACACUGAAGCCUGAGAUUAUCAUUUUUAUGGGCUUCCAAUCUUUCCUGCCUCAUGUCUUAUCAGCGAAUGCAGCUGGAGGCUUCAAAAACCCUCCCAGCUUGCUGCUGGUUUUAUGGGAUGAAGAUUAGAGAUGAUCGGAUAGUAAAUUAUUCAUUCCAUUCGAUAUCGCUGGGCAGGAGGGAAUAUCCAGAGCGAAGUCAGCUCCCUUCUCCCUUUCUGAGCAUCGUGUAUUGGGAUUCCAGCUAUCUGCCACUCCAGCAAUGCAGUGGCACUUUCCCCUGUGCUCAGAGAUGAUUAGGGGUGGAAUGCUCUCCGAGCAGAUGGGAAAGCGGAGGGGGAGUCAUGGAUGCAGGUUCGUCCCUGAGCAAUAAGGCAGACCGGAGGCAGGUGUAUUUCCUUCUUGUUUCAGGAAUUUUUAGUUUGAUUCUUCCCAGCCCAAGGCAAGGUGAGACGAAUCAGGUGUUUUCUCAGCCUAAUUUCUCAACAUUGUGGGACCUGAGACUGAUCAGAAAGUGCUACCAGACUCGUGGCAGCAUGGAGAAGCAGGGAGCUCAGAGAGGACAAAUCCAGGCAGCCGUGUGCAAACGGGCAGACGGAUAGAGGAGGGACCCCACUGCUGCCCUUAGAUGGAUGGAGCAGCAGCAUUGCCCAUCGGGGCCCUGCACAGGCACCAGUUGGUGGAAAUGCUGCCCAGAGACCUGUGCCAAAAAACAGCAAGUGUAAAAAUAUCAUCCAGAAAAUCCUAUGAAAUACGUGCAGGCUGUGGUGAUGCUGCUGAGCAGAAAAUGAAGGAAGAAGCAUGGCCCAAUGCGAUACCUGAUGCUGGUGUCCAAUCUCAGGCGGCUGCUGGGUACCAGCUCCCAGCAAGCAUCCCGGCUGAUCCCACUGGAGCAUCCAGGCUGCCAAGGAGAAGGUGAAACCCCACAUCCUCCCCAACUGAGGGCCCAGGAGGGAUCAGAGCUGCUACCAACACCCUCUCACUGCUGCUUACUCAAGACCUGCAAUUAGCAUCAACAAUGGGGAACUCAUGAAUGGUCUAAUAAAAUGUCUAAUCAAA